rnacentral:lncRNA from 1 species
UAACCUCUUGAAAGUCUUUCAUCACUUCCACUGCAUUUUUGUUGGUCAAAACAAGUCACAAAGCCAGCCCAGAGUCUAAGAGAAAGGAAAAAGGUCUUGUGUGUUCAGGGAUGGGAGGAAUUGUUGGCGACUAUCACCAUGUCUUGUCAGCCUGUCUACUUUGCAGCUUGUACCUCAGGGCUGUGCUACCUGUAUUGCAGU